rnacentral:lncRNA from 10 species
UGGUCCUUCUGGAAGGGAACUGGCUAAGCCAGGACUGCUUUUCUGGAGUGAUAAUGUGCUUGCCUGUGUCUAAGAGAAAGUACCCUGGCUGAUAAAUGGGACUUGGAUUUUAAAUACCAUUGGAUAAUAAAUGUAUGUGAUGGCUUUGGAGCAAAUUGAUUGACAAUGGCUAGGAGACAGCUUCCCAAGGCUGGAAAGAGGGGAGUGCGGAACAUGCCUCCACCAUACCACUGCCCACCUCCUGUGACCUCUGCAGCAAAACCUGAAGCCCCAAAGAGGCAGCUUCUCAAAGUAAAAGUGGAAUGAAGUUCCUGGUGACCUGAAUUCCCAUGGAGGAAAGAGGAAAAGGACAUUAUGCAAGGAGAUGGCAUCUCGUGUCCCUGGUGAACCAAAUUCCAUUAGGAAGACGGUGCAGUGUGAGGUGGACCUGGACCUGGAUAAAAUGGGUGUUUAACAAGUAUUUGUUGAGUAGGUGGUGGAGGAGGCACGACUAGAUGCAGGGUCUAGCUGAGUUGACAAGAGCUAACACCAGGUGUGGACCAGGACAGGGGGACCUUAAGCGAAGACACCCUGCCAGAUGUGUCUUGUUCCCUUGACUGUGGGGAGGCCCUUGGUGGUGGGGUGACGGUCCCCCAGUCUGAGGAUUUUCCCUGGAUGUAGCCUCUCAGUGCUAAAAUGGGACAGUCCCAGGCAAACCAGGUCAGUUGGUCACUCUACUCAGUGAGCCCCGUGCUGUGUUCAAAUUUUCCUCUUAACAGAUGUGGAUGGAUUUCGGAAACUUAGAAACCACCAUUUCUCUGUGCCUGGGAGGAGAGUUAAAUCUUCUCACCAGAAUCCUUUUAUGUGUGAGAGAAAUAAAUAUCUAUCCUUUUUAUAUCUCUUUUGUUUUGGAUUCUUUGUCACCAGCAGCCAAACCCAAUUCUUACAUAAACGUGAUACUAAUUAAAUUCAUUUGCAUAAACUCACCAGUUUUAUCCUUAAUUACUGUGAUAUACACUCAUGAAGUAUGUACCCUAAAAUACCACUGUAAGUUUUAUUUGAUUACAGCAUUAAACUUAAUUUACAGAAAUGCUUGGCUUCUUUCAAUAGCUUGUUGAUUACAUAGUAUGAUCAUCUUCUGAUAACUUAAAAGAAAAAAAAUGGAAGGACCCGUAUUCCUUCCAGCUUGUGAAUGGAGGCCCAGGGCACCAGACCCUGCUAUUGAAUUUGAAUAAAUGGGAUCUCUUUUGAACAGAAUCUGAGAGAUGGCAUUAACAUAUACCUCAUGGCCAAAGUGCAUUACAUUUAGCCUUUACUGCAGACAGUUGUUUUUGGAGACACACUAUGACCUUUGGUAUAUCUGCAUCUGUGAAACAAUAAAGCAUUCUUUAAAUGAAG